rnacentral:rRNA from 1 species
UACGUAGGGGGCAAGCGUUGUCCGGAAUCAUUGGGCGUAAAGAGCGCGUAGGCGGCCCUGUAAGUCCGCUGUGAAAGUCAAGGGCUCAACCCUUGAAUGCCGGUGGAUACUGCAGGGCUAGAGUCCGGAAGAGGCGAGUGGAAUUCCUGGUGUAGCGGUGAAAUGCGCAGAUAUCAGGAGGAACACCGAUGGCGAAGGCAGCUCGCUGGGACGGUACUGACGCUGAGGCGCGAAGCGUGGGAGCAAACAGG